AUACGUAGGUGGCGAGCGUUGUCCGGAAUUACUGGGUGUAAAGGGCGUGUAGGCGGGAAGGCAAGUCAGAUGUGAAAUACCAUGGCUCAACUGUGGGGCUGCAUCUGAAACUGUUUUUCUUGAGUACUGGAGAGGAAAGCGGAAUUCCUAGUGUAGCGGUGAAAUGCGUAGAUAUUAGGAGGAACACCAGUGGCGAAGGCGGCUUUCUGGACAGUAACUGACGCUGAGGCGCGAAAGCGUGGGGAGCAAACAGGAUUAGAUACCCUGGUAGUCCACGCCGUAAACGAUGGAUACUAGGUGUAGGAGGUAUCGACCCCUUCUGUGCCGGAGUUAACACAAUAAGUAUCCCACCUGGGGAGUACGGCCGCAAGGCUAAA
rnacentral:rRNA from 1 species